AUGAAAGAAGAAGGGGAGGAGGAGAAAGAAGCCAAGGAGGUGACUAUGCAGCUUGAAAAGCCUAAGAUAUUUACAACAUGAACCUUCACAGGACAGACCAGAACACGUUAGGAAACAUAUUCCACUAUUCAAAGGAUAAAGCUCUUCUUUCAAAUUGUGUACUGAAGAUAUUUAGUUAGAAAAAGACUCAGUAGUAUGCCUGGGACAACAGUCAUACUGAAUUAAUGAACCAUGCUGCUGACCUCAUUUUAACUUGAUUUACUUCUGUAAAAGGCUUAUCUCCAAAUAAGGUCACAUUCUAAGAUACUAAGAAUUAGGCCGGGUGCGGUGGCUCACGCCUGUAAUCCCAGCACUUUGGGAGGCCGAGGCGGGCGGAUCACGAGGUCAGGAGAUCGAGACCAUCCUGGCUAACACAGUGAAACCCCGUCUCUACUAAAAAUACAAAAAUUAGCCGGGUGUAGUGGCGGGCGCCUGUAGUCUGUAGUCCCAGCUACUCGGGAGGCUGAGGCAGGAGAAUGGCAUGAACCCGGGACGCGGAGCUUGCCUUCAGCCGAGAAGAUCGCGCCACUGCACUCCAUCCAGCCUCGGCGACAGAGCGAGACUGUCUCAAAAAAAAAAAAAAAAAAAAAAAAAGAAUUAGGACUUCACCAUACCCUUUUGGGGGGAACACAAUUCAAGCCAUAAUACUCAUCAAUCCAUUUCCUCCUCUUCGUAGGAAUUCUGAAGAUCUGACUUCCCUAUCCCCCUUUAAGUUAGGUCAGGCCAUCUGCCUGGUUCUGUAUAAAUGAAUGUGGAUGAAAGUGAUGUGUACCACUACAAAACCUGGCUAGAAGGCAUCCUACAUAAUACUCCUCAUUUUUGCUCUUUGCCUUAUUGGGUGACUAAACGCACAGGAUCUAGCAGAGGACACUGAGGAGUCCCUGGAAGAUUGCGGCAACACAAGACGGAGAAGCCAGGAUCCCAAAGCACCAAGUGAAAGACUGGUCGGCAAAAAUCCAUUUGAACUGUGAUGUGAGUGAAAAACAUAUGCCUGUUGAAUUAAGUAAUGAUCAAUGCUAUGCUCUGUUUGUACUCAUAGCAGCUUCUGUUAUGCCUUUUAUUAAUACGUCUGGCUUGUUUCCUUUUGAUCUCAGGGCUAAAAUAUCCCAUUUGAAAAACCACCCAUUUUUUUUCCAGUCUUCUGCUUUGUCAAGUUAUAUCAUAGCAAGUUUUUACAAUAAAUAAAACUCUAUAGUAAAAAAUAAUUU
rnacentral:lncRNA from 10 species